rnacentral:rRNA from 1 species
AACGAACGCUGGCGGCAUGCCUAACACAUGCAAGUCGAACGGGAUCCAGGCUUCGGCCUGGUGAGAGUGGCGGACGGGUGAGUAACGCGUGGGAACCUGCCCAAUGGUCUGGGAUAACCGCGGGAAACUGCGGCUAAUACCGGAUAAGCCCGAGAGGGGAAAGAUUUAUCGCCGAUGGAGGGGCCCGCGUCAGAUUAGGUAGUUGGUGGGGUAAUGGCCUACCAAGCCUACGAUCUGUAGCNGGUCUGAGAGGAUGAUCAGCCACACUGGGACUGAGAUACGGCCCAGACUCCUACGGGAGGCAGCAGUGGGGAAUAUUGGACAAUGGGGGCAACCCUGAUCCAGCAAUGCCGCGUGAGUGAUGAAGGCCUUAGGGUUGUAAAGCUCUUUUGCCAGGGACGAUGAUGACGGUACCUGGAGAAUAACGCCCCGGCUAACUUCGUGCCAGCCGCCGCCGUAAU